GCAAACAAUUAUUUUAAUAAGGGCUUAAAUAAUUAUAACGCUGUUAUCCCUAGAGUACCUUAUUCGUCUAAUUUAAUAAAGAUCAUUCGUUAAUAUAAAUAGUCCUAUUUAAAUUUACCCCAAAUAAACUUGUGUAUAAUUAUUACUUCAUUAAUUAAGUAAAGGUUCAUAGG
rnacentral:rRNA from 1 species